rnacentral:rRNA from 1 species
UACAGAGGGGGCAAGCGUUGUUCGGAAUUACUGGGCGUAAAGGGCGCGUAGGCGGCCUGCUAAGUCGAACGUGAAAUCCCUGGGCUCAACCCAGGAACUGCGUCCGAUACUGGUUGGCUUGAAUCCGGGAGAGGGAUGUGGAAUUCCAGGUGUAGCGGUGAAAUGCGUAGAUAUCUGGAGGAACACCGGGUGGCGAAGGCGGCAUCCUGGACCGGCAUUGACGCUGAGGAGCGAAAGCCAGGGGAGCAAACGGG